AUGGAACCUGCCUUAGAGGAAGAUGGAUAUACGGAUUGGACAGUACAUGUGGAAGAAACCUUCUCUGAAAAGAACUUCCAGGAGAGCCCCCAGAGACCCUCUUUGAGAGGGAGCCCCAGCCUCUCGGGAGCCUGCCUCUGGCUUAGCAUUCACACCAAAACCCCGGGUCCUGGGGCAAGGGACCGAAGAGUCCAGUGUGGUGGCAGCUUCACUUCAGUGCAGGUCGAGAGUUUGGCAUGGAUAUGAGAAGACUAAGGUCCUGAUGACUUGCCAGGAAUUGAAUGGGUGUAAGUCCAGAGGUAGCUCGUAUAAAUGCUCGGGAUUGGAAGGUGAACCUGACUAGGAAUCAGUGUCUCCUUCACUCCAUUGUCCAAAUGGGGGAAAUAAAAAUAUAAAUAGGUAGUUACCUAGUGACCAGAAUUAGUUUUCUUUAGUUCUUUGAUUCUAAAUGGCCAUAGCCAUACAAUACAUAUAUGUAUGUGUGUGUGUGUGUGUGUGUGUAUGUUUAAAGAUAUACAUGUUAUGAUAAAUACAUAUACCCUACAUAUAAUAAAUAUAUUUAUCAUGUAUAUACAUAUAUAUAAAUACCUGGGCAGGGAGUUCCUUGUUGUGACUCAGCAGGUUAAGGACCCAAGAUUGUCUCCAUGAAGAUGUGGGUUCGAUCCUUGGCCUUGCUCAGUGGGUUAAGGAUCCGGCACAAGGUGCCACAAAGUGGAGCGUAGAUCACAGACGCAACUGGUAUCUGGUGUUGCUGUGGCUGUGGUGUAGGUCGCAGCUGCAGCUCCAAUUUGACCUCUAGUCUGGGAAAAUGGCGCAGGUGUGGCCUUAAAAAGAAAAAAAUAGCUGAGCAAAGCUACCUCCACAGAAUAACAACUGGGAGGGCUACGCUGAUGACAGAAUCAGGACAGGACAACGAAAGCUGGACUGAGUAGCUAAAUUAAAUAGUAUCAAUUGAAGCUGCGUCAGCAGUGCAAUGUACCUGUCCCUGGGCUUCCAGGCUGGUGAAACUUGCUCUCUCGAGUGGGGAAGCGGGUGAGUUCUCCACUGCUCUGCGCUAGCCAUACCCCACCCGGGGGGACCAGUGUGUUCAAUUCUGGCUGCUACACUGGGCUGUCGGAUGGGAUAAUAUAUAUUGCAAAAUUUUCUGAGAGCGCUCAGGAACACCUAGAAGCAUCCAAAUGAGAAAAGGUUGAGAGAGGAGUGAACUGGCCUGGAGAUGACCAACCUUAGUGCACAGGGCUGCCUCAGAACACCGGGGGGGGGGGGGGUGAAGUCUGUGAGGCCCAGCUAGGAAUGGCCGCAAGGCGCAGUACAGAACAGCGAGAGCUUUCCAAAUAGAGGACAGCUUGCCCCACAUGACAGUGAUUUAUUCAUCCCUGGAGGUCCUCGAGCGGGCCAUCCACUUGUCUGGGACGCUGAAACGGGGAUUCAGAUGUCACCUGGAUGUGACCCUGAGAUCCAUGGCCCAUGACACUGUUCAGCAUGUGGAAAUAGUAGAGGGUCUGGUCUGGGGCGUUCAUCUAUAGCUUCUAGAUGACUAGAUACAGCGAUGCGUAUCUCUAAUGUGCGAUUCAGAAGGAAAUGUGGAAAACUUAGGCAGUGUACAUCUUUCACCCCAAAGGAAGGACACAGAGACAUCCUGUGACCUUCUCAGAUCCAAAG
rnacentral:lncRNA from 1 species